CUCUUUCUACUCUUUCUCUCUCUACAAUAAUGUGCCCGAUUUGAAGGCAUUUUUGCACGAAUUGAAGGAAUUUCUGUACGAAUUGAAGGUCAAGCUUACACUCUAUACUCGAAUUGAAGCAUUGAAGUGUAUAUCUAUUGGAGAUGGAUUCUUCAUGCAGAUAUUGGGAACCCACUGCUAUGCCGAAGGUCAAAAGUUUGCAUUAAGCUGCUCACAGAUUAUGCCCAAGAAUUUCAACACAG